rnacentral:SRP_RNA from 2 species
GCCGGGCGUGGUGGCGUGCGCCUGUAAUCCCAGCUACUAGGGAGGCUGAGGCAGGAGAAUUGCUUGAACCUGGGAGGCAGAGGUUGCAGUGAGCCGAGAUUAUGCCACUGCACUCCAGCCUGGGUGACAGAGCAAGACUCUGUCUCAA